rnacentral:rRNA from 1 species
AUGAAUGCCUUCGGGUUGUAAACUGCUUUUAUCUGUGACGAAUAUGACGGUAGCAGAUGAAUAAGGAUCGGCUAACUCCGUGC